UGUGCCAGUGGUGAGCUGAGAGUAACCCCAGCUUAGGAAACAGGGUUGUCCUACAUGUGGAUGACUCUGUGCCGAGAGCAUGGGAACAUGC